GCCGGGAUGGCGGAACUGGCAGACGCAGGGGACUUAAAAUCCCCCGGCCGAAAGGCCGUCCGGGUUCGAAUCCCGGUCUCGGCACCA
rnacentral:tRNA from 1 species